AUUACUUUGGCAGAAUAGUGUUUUAAAUUUAGAAUUUAAUUAUGUAUGAUUAUUUCAUACAAGUAAUA
rnacentral:tRNA from 1 species